UCUCUAAAUCCCCAGUCUCGACUCUCUCUCGAGACGAGAGACGAUAGAAACGGCCACGGCUCCGACCCGACUUUCUCUUCUGUUUCCAUUAACAUCGAGCCUCCAAUCGAGCCUUCGUCGAUAUUCUUCAUCUUUCUUCUAACUUUCUUAGACCUAAACGCAAAGUCACGAAUAUUUUUCUUCUUCUUUCUCUCUCGUUCAAUUGAAAAGGCGACGACUAGUAACCCAAAUCCGCGAUUCUCUUUGUUUCUUCUUUAUUCUCCAUAGAAAUCAAUGUUUCAACCGACGGUCUUCAUCUUCUUCCUAAUUUUGUAAAUCAUGGUUUGGGAUAUAGAGAAGAUGCAGGUUUAAACUUGGAGAGUGAUGCUGAUGAAUAACUCCGAAUCUAUAUUCCUUUUAACCAGUCUCUUAGUGGUGACUUGAGCUGUGAGAUUUUAAAUUUUUGUGAUCAGAAAAGACUCUGACCUUGGUAGAUUGUAUGUAGAGAUGAAGAGGCUUAAUAGAUGGAAUAUGUUUUUCUUGGUAGAUAGCUUGCUUAGAGGUGUCCUACUUGUGCUUAGUUGCUUAGAUUGAAUCUAGGGUUAGAUUUUUCUUUAAGUUCCAGUUAGCUACAAAGGAAUCAAAUAUUAUUAGCUGCUAUAAGAUCUUCUGCUGUCUUUAGUAACAGGACAAUGUUGUGGAACCGUUGCUUGUUGGCAAUACCGGUAGGACUUAAGCAAAAGGACAAUGUUGACGCUCUUGUACAGAAGUUUCUUCCGGAGAAUUUCACAGAGGUGAGUUGAGGAAGACAAGAACUGGGUCGACCGAUCUCGACAAGGAACCGUGUCAGCAAUAAUCGAAGGUUUAAGCGGAGUUGUGUGAUAUCAAGUUCAUUGCAGAGGCAAGCUGAACAUAUUACGAAAUAAACACAGACAGUUUUGUAAUCAAAUCAGAUUAAAUGUAGAAAAAGAUUUAAAUAUAUGUUAACAUUUAAUUAUACACUCGAUUUUUAUUAAUGUAGUUUUCAUUAUCUUCUUUA